rnacentral:tRNA from 7 species
GGAGAAGUGGCCGAGUGGCUGAAGGCGCGCCCCUGCUAAGGGCGUAUACGUUAAUAGCGUAUCGAGGGUUCGAAUCCCUCCUUCUCCGCCA